rnacentral:tRNA from 1 species
GGGGAUGUAGCUUAAUUGGUAGAGUGCUGCCUUGCACGCACAGAGCCCUGGGUUUGAUCCCCAGCACCACAA